AUUGAACGCUGGCGGCAGGCCUAACACAUGCAAGUCGAGCGGAUGAAGGGAGCUUGCUCCUGGAUUCAGCGGCGGACGGGUGAGUAAUGCCUAGGAAUCUGCCUGGUAGUGGGGGAUAACGUCCGGAAACGGGCGCUAAUACCGCAUACGUCCUGAGGGAGAAAGUGGGGGAUCUUCGGACCUCACGCUAUCAGAUGAGCCUAGGUCGGAUUAGCUAGUUGGUGGGGUAAAGGCCUACCAAGGCGACGAUCCGUAACUGGUCUGAGGGGAUGAUCAGUCACACUGGAACUGAGACACGGUCCAGACUCCUACGGGAGGCAGAAGUGGGGAAUAUUGGACAAUGGGCGAAAGCCUGAUCCAGCCAUGCCGCGGGUGUGAAGAAGGUCUUCGGAUUGUAAAGCACUUUAAGUUGGGAGGAAGGGCAGUAAGUUAAUACCUUGCUGUUUUGACGUUACCAACAGAAUAAGCACCGGCUAACUUCGU
rnacentral:rRNA from 1 species